rnacentral:rRNA from 1 species
UACGAGGGGUGCAAGCGUUGCUCGGAAUUAUUGGGCGUAAAGGGUAGGUAGGUGGUCUCAUUUGUCUGAUGUGAAAGCCUUGGGCUUAACCCAAGAAGUGCGUCAGAAACGGUGAGACUGGAGUCCUGGAGAGGGUCGUGGAAUUCCCGGUGUAGCGGUGAAAUGCGUAGAGAUCGGGAGGAACACCAGAGGCGAAGGCGGCGUCCUGGGGUGCGGUUGACGCUCAGACACGAAAGCAUGGGGAGCGAACGGG